rnacentral:tRNA from 1 species
GCCGACUUAGCUCAGUUGGUUAGAGCGCCUCACUAGUAAUGAGGAGGUCGGGCGUUCGAAUCGUCUAGUCGGCA